AUAUAAAAGCCAGAAACAGAAAAGAAAAGGAGGUGGGUCUCUCUCAACUACAUAUCCUCUCUCUCUCUCGUAUGCUCCUUCCCUUAAAAAAACUCCAGAUUGCUUCUUCUCCCAUGUACGUCAAUUUCUUCACUUCAUUCCAUCGGCGUCCUCAUUUACUCACCGCUGAGGGUUUCUUAAAGGAUCAAAUUGUUUUGAUUUUGUUUAAGGUAAGUAUCAAACAAAUCCCUAAUUUCUCUGUCAUUGUUUUGUUCCCCUUGAAAGAAUUUUGGAAUUUUGCUCUUAAAUUUCAUUUCACGGUAACACGUUUGCACACUUCUGCGCUGGUGAGGUACCAAUUUUGUUCUUUAUUAUAAGUGGCACAGAAAGUAUUUGUUGAAAUGCUUCUUAGGGAUUCAGUUUUUCCAAAACUUCUUGUUGUGACUUUGUGUUCUGCUCAUUAGGGCGUGUGGGUUCUUGUUAGUGUGGUGUUGAAUUUUUUUUUUUUUUUUAUUGGUUAGUAGAGGAAAAAGGCAACAACUGUGUAAUCAAGGUGGAAGGGUUUUUAUAAAGAAAUAAUUUUUUUCUUUUAUGUCCUAAGGAAGACACGGGUAUAGAGUUGCUAUUUCUUUUCUUUUCCAUGUGAUGUACAUCUAAGUUGUAAUUCUGUAGCUGUUGCAGCAUCUUGGAAUCAAAAUUUGAGUGUUUUCUAGUUUUAAUGUUUGAGAGCUUUUGUGUUGCAUUUUGGCUAGUACAGAAUUUGGUUUUUUGUACUUUUGCUUGCUAUUUGUCUUGUUUUGAGAAUAGCGUCUCAGGUUGUUUCUGGUGUCUAUGCUAAUAAAAUUUUCUAAUUUAUCAAUUUUUUUUUAAAAGAGAUUGUAGAUGAAAAUAACGAAACUUUUUUAAACAUCCUGUAAUUUUAUAUUAACAUAUUGAAUCAGUCAAUAGCAUUUUCGGAUGGUUAACUAGGGUAAAACGGACUGCUACUUUUGAUGCUAGUGCUUACUUAAUGGCAAGGUUUUCUUUAUGACUGUCUCACUAGGUAAAUUGGGUUGUAUCAUAUUCAUAGCUUCAUAUCAACAGAUGCUUAUUUUAUUUCUUGAAAAUUUGUUCAUAUGAAAUAAAGAGAGCAGGAUACUGGGGCAAAUGCUGUUGAGAACAUUUCUAAUGCCAUUAGUUAUGUAUUGUGCUUAGUCCAGCGAGUUGAUACACAAAUAAAUUAUAGAACUUGAAAGAUACAUACUAAAUUUUCUUUUCUUUUCUUUUCUUUUCAUUUAGCACUCUGAGGUCAAAGCACCGGACGGAUGAUUUGUAUUUUAAUUUUAAUUAGGCAAGAUAACCAAGAAUGAAAAAGAAAAUUUACAGGAAAAUUAGGAGCAAUAUCUUAACUAGUAAGUUUUUCUUACAAUUUUUUUUUUCUUAACUAGUAAGGAAUUCUCUUUUGUUUUGUUUUUUACAAAAUUAUCGUUUGGCUUUGUUUUAUGCCCAGAAGCUGCUUGAUUAUUUCAUUAAGUCAUUCAUGUAAUUAUACUCAUGGCCGGCUCAACAACUUUGGGGCGUUAUGCCAAAAUUUUAAGUGGGGCCUUUUUUAUAUUUAAAUAUUAAUCAAAUAAUAUAUAUUGAAUUUUUUUAUUUAAAAUAUAUUUUUCUUGCUUUUUGAGAUGCAAAAUUACUAAUUAAGUGUUUGUAUUUAAGUUCCUCUAACAUUUCUUUUUCAUUUAAUAAUAUAGUUAAUCCACUUAAUCUUUCUUGUGAUGUAGUAGACCUUAAAUAAGAUUUUGUUAAUUUUAAUUUUAAUAUAGCUAAUCCACUUCAUCUUUCUUUUCCAAAUAAAAAUUAAUUUAUUACAUGGUUCCAUAAAUUAGUGUCACUAUAAUACAAAUGAGUUGAUAUGAUACACAUCAAAUUAUUAAUUGGUAUGAUAAUUUAUAAUAAUUGAUAAAGUAUGAAAACGUGUUGUCCUAUGACUGUGGGCGGACGACUGGGUUGUGCAACCUAUGUAGCCUGUGCAGUGCGCAACUAUGCUGCCUAUGCUGCUGUGUAGUGUGCAACCGUGCAGAAAACGUGCUGUCCAGCCUAAAUUUAAUUUCGUUAGCUGAAAUUUGACUAUUUUAGUUUUUUCCCUUUUUAAUCUUUUGCAUUUUAGGAUAUAAUGGGGCAUUUUUAAUGCAUUUUAUUGACCAAUGAAAGUACUUAAAUUUUUUUUAAUUAAAAUAUAUAGAUAAGUAUAUUAUAUAUAUAACUUUUUCUUACAAGUGGGGCCUUCUUUUAUUUGAGGGUCUUAGGCGAUUGCAUCAAUUACAUCACCUAUUGAGCCUACCCUAAUUAUACUAUUAAUUAUUUUUUAACCUGCUAGUGGACAUUUUGAUUAUUAGCUCUGCACAUUCCUUUUAUUUAGAUUUGUAUUGUUGAGGUUUCAAAAAAAUUAUUUGUAAAAGCAAAGUAACGUUGUUUUGUAGAAUUUUGUGCACUUGUUGCGAAGCUCUCAAUUCUUGAUUUUAGUUUAACUUUGCUGUGCGUAUAAUCUUAGCAUUGAUCUAUAUACAUUAGAUACAUAAAUAUAUUUUAUUUUAAUACUAAUUUUGGGAAUGCAUAGGAGAUAUUUGUGAAAUUGUCUAGUACAAACUUUGAAGUGAUGUUAAGCUAUUUUAUAUGCACGUUGUGUAGUCUUGAGGGUAAUUUGUUAGAUUGAGAAAUGCACCAGGCUGCUCUCUAAAUUGGCUAAUUCCCUUCACUUCCCACUCACAAAAAAUAAGGAUCCAAUUCAGGGGAGCGAUGUAAUAGUUUUUGAAUUUCUUUUAUGUGAGGGAUGUAUUAUAAUGUUUUUGCUUGCCUUUUUCAGUAGCAUGUCCUAUGAUGUCCAAAAACACACUCUUUUUGACAUAUGGAACUUCUCCGUGUGCUUAUUUGACAGUAAGCUUUGCGUAGCUUACUGCAUUAAAGUUUAUGGCUAUAAACAAUCUAUGUUGAACAUUGCACUCUAUCUUGUUUGACAGAAUUUUAUGAAGUGUAUUGUAACAGUAACCUUGGCUAAUUAAUUCCUACUCUUUUUAGCUAAGCACCUAUGACUAAAGGUAUGUAUUAGAUAGCUCAUAUUGCUAUUUAAACAAUACAAGUUGGACCUCUCAGGUCCUCUAUAUUAGAUAGCUCAUAUUGCUAUAUUUAAAUAAUACAGGUCCUCUUUAUUUGUUACGAGAACUACAAUGCUAAAGGGUUGCUCUCUUUAGGUGGAUACAUCAUAUAGUUGUCAAUUGGUGAUUCAUAACAUGUAGCUUGACCUCUCUUUCACAAAAGUCAAAAGUGCCAAAAAUGAGUAUUGGGAACCUUAUUACUUUGCAUCAAUAGGAUUUGGGAACGGUGAAAUUAGAUGAUGAGAUGAGAUUGAAGGAGAAAUAGGAGGUGAGAGCUUGAAAAAAUACCGUGUUGAUUUUGUUCUGUACCAAAGGGAAGCUUUUUUAGUAUUCCAUUGAUUUCAGGUUUAUACUUACAUUACAACAUUUUUUUUUAAUUACUAUUAAAAAGAGCAGUGUGCAUGAAAUUGUCGGAUUGUAAGCAAUUUGGCACAAGUUAAGCUUGGAGAAAGAACUUAGUUUCCAUUACAUGCUCAUUUCCUUAUAAUUUAUGGGUGUCAUCCUUUAUUUCUCUUAGAUAGUUAUGAAGAAUCUGAUUUAUAGUUCUAAAUUUUGAUAAGAGAGUUUUAACAAUGAUAUCAUGUAUAUUUUAUGCCAAAGUCUCCAACCCCAGUGAAGAUGGAAUAUUAUAGAUUUAUGGGUUUGUAUCAAUUAUCUUUGUAAUUAAUAGAGAGAUGAUGAACUCCACUAGGGUUUUUUAUUUUUUUAGUAAGCAUUAGUUGGUGCAGCUUUGUAGUACAGUUUUUUUUAAAGAAAUAGAGCAUAUAUUGAUAAGAUUUGAAUAUAAAUUUUAAAAAUUACCUGAAGGUGUUUGAAACUAAUACAUUAAACAAAUAUCAGUUUUUCCUUUGGCAUCAAAGUUCAAACUUCAAAGAAUGGCAAGAGAGAAGUUUCCGUUAAGAUGGUUUCCUUCCCUUUAUGGUGCUGAAAUACCUGUCCUCUCUUAUUUGGUCUGCAGGUUGUAGUGCUAAACUUCGCUCAUCUUACUUGUCUAUGAUUCAUAAUGUUGUUAUCACCUCCUUGAUAUUUUCCCCCUUCAGUUCUGAUUUGAUAAUACCAUUCUAUGAAAUAGAGCAAGGAAAAUCCAUUGGGAGUUCAUGCAUUGAAGUGGUGCUAAAGGACUCGGCUUUGUCAUAUUGCUGACAAGAAGAUAAGCAGCACUUAUGGUCAUAUUGGGUCAGGAGAGAGGACUCGGCUUUGUCAUAUACUAUUAAUUAUUUUUUAACCUGCUAGGGGGGGGAGCAUUCCCUUCUUUAUUUUACAUUACGUAAGCUAAAAGGAUGGUCAUUUACGCCUCUGACUGAAACUGAAAAUCGAAAUUUGAAAUCAACCAUAUUGUUUCAUUCA